rnacentral:rRNA from 1 species
UUGCGGUUAAAAAGCUCGUAGUUGGAGUUCUGCCAGGUGACGCUCGUCCGCCCAAGUGGUGUGUACAGGGCGUGCAUCUGGCCCUUUCAAGGGGAACGUGUCUGCACUUUACUGUGUGGUGCGAGAUCCUUGACUUUUACUUUGAGGAAAUAAGAGUGUUCCAAGCAGGCUCUCGUCGUGCAUAGCUCAGCAUGGAAUAAUAGCAUUGGACUUCGUUUCUACGCUGUUGGUUGCAAGAAGCGAGGUAAUGAUGAAGAGGGAUAGUUGGGGGCAUUCGUAUUUGACUGUCAGAGGUGAAAUUCUUGGAUUUGUUAGAGACGGACUACUGCGAAAGCAUCUGCCAUGGAUGUUUUCAUUGAUCAAGAACGAAAGUUAGGGGAUCGAAGACGAUCAGAUACCGUCCUAGUCUUAACUAUAAACCAUGCCGGCUAGAGAUCGGAGGUCGUUCGAUUUGUGACACCUUCAGCAUCUUGAGAGAAAUCAAAGCCUUUGGGUUCCGGGGGGAGUAUGGUCGCAAGGCUGAAACUUAAAGGAAUUGACGGAAGGGCACCACCAGGAGUGGAGCCUGCGGCUUA